UUUGCAACAAAUUUUAAAAGGAUAGAAACUAAAUUGCAAUCACAAAUAAAAUAGGAAGACACAUAUUUUUAAUCAUAAACAGUGUAGGUACAAAUUUGUUUAUCCCUUGAUUCUUCUAUCUUUAGAUUUCUCCGUGAUUCGAAGGUCGUUAGUGGCGUAUUUCUUGAACUAGGAUGAUUUGCGCUUGCUUGAGAUUUGUUGAUCUCCAUUGAUCUUUGUGAACAUUCCAUGAAUUUAUGGAAUAUUUGAAAUACCUCUUUAAG
rnacentral:lncRNA from 1 species